UUCCCCUUCCUAACACUCAGUUUUAACAGCCCUGUUAUGUGUCUCUAAUUCUCAGCUGGCAGAAAACAGUCCACUGGAAGAGAUCCAUCCACUCGGCAAAGGCUCGAGGCAAGUCCAAGAUACAGGAAAUACUGAGUGUCUCUCCCCAAAGAUCUUCCUUAUCAGGACAUCAGUGAACUGAAAGGACAGAAGAUAAAAGCUCUAUGAAAAGGACGGAAGAUAUCAUCUUGUCUAUGUGGGAGGAGCUCCAUCCUCUUCAGUGAUGAUGUGCAGUGGGUCUGUCACUGGCAGAGGGAACGCAGGUU
rnacentral:lncRNA from 1 species